rnacentral:rRNA from 1 species
UACGUAGGAUCCAAGCGUUGUCCGGAUUUACUGGGUGUAAAGGGUGCGCAGGCGGACUUGCUAGUCAGAGGUGAAAUCUCACUGCUCAACAGUGAAACUGCCUUUGAUACUGCAGGUCUUGAAUCCAGAAGAGAGUUGUGGAAUUCCGAGUGUAGCAGUGAAAUGUGUAGAUAUUCGGAAGAACACCAGCGGCGAAGGCAGCAACUUGGUCUGGUAUUGACGCUCAGGCACGAAAGCAUGGGGAUCAAACAGG